rnacentral:rRNA from 1 species
GACGAACGCUGGCGGCGUGCCUAAUACAUGCAAGUCGAGCGAAUGGAUUAAGAGCUUGCUCUUAUGAAGUUAGCGGCGGACGGGUGAGUAACACGUGGGUAACCUGCCCAUAAGACUGGGAUAACUCCGGGAAACCGGGGCUAAUACCGGAUAACAUUUUGAACCGCAUGGUUCGAAAUUGAAGGGCGGCUUCGGCUGUCACUUAUGGAUGGACCCGCGUCGCAUUAGCUAGUUGGUGAGGUAACGGCUCACCAAGGCAACGAUGCGUAGCCGACCUGAGAGGGUGAUCGGCCACACUGGGACUGAGACACGGCCCAGACUCCUACGGGAGGCAGCAGUAGGGAAUCUUCCGCAAUGGACGAAAGUCUGACGGAGCAACGCCGCGUGAGUGAUGAAGGCUUUCGGGUCGUAAACUCUGUUGUUAGGGAAGAACAAGUGCUAGUUGAAUAAGCUGGCACCUUGACGGUACCUAACCAGAAAGCCACGGCUAACUACGUGCCAGCCGCCGCGGUAA